AAUAUCAAGGCCAUCGCUGCUUCAGCGGGCCUACACGUCGCCAAGCUGUCGCUCACACCCAUCGUCUACACCGGCCCCACGAGUGCCGGUGCAGUCUCUAGGACAGUUUCCAAGCAGUCCUCCUUGCUGGAGCCACGGAAGAAAAAGGGCAUGCCGUGCUACUGCAUCGAAGAGGUCGACCUCGACAUUUUUCGUGGCAUAUUCAUAGAGCAAUGGCUAAGCGGAAAGAAGCAUAGCAGCUGCCAGGAGGCGCUCUUCUUCUGCACAACAUGCGGUCCGCCAGCGGUGCAGGAGUCCAUAAAGGGCUCCUCCGGUAGCGGAAGCAGCAGCGGCGCGAACCGGCGCAGCACCUAUACCGCCAAGAGCUGCACCCCAGAGAAAAAGAGCUCAUCCGCCAAGUCGACCUUUGGCAGCACGCUGAAAAAGCUCUUUACGUCGUCCAAGAGCAGCUCGAAAGCGGACCUGAGCACCAUUUCGUCAAAGCAGCACUCUAGUUGCCACAUACGCGAGCCCAGCACCCGCAUCAUGUCGGCAGAGGAGGAGGAGCUCCCGAUCACACCGCGGACGGAUAAGGAGCUGUACCUGUGCGUGACCUGCGGCUCGUGCUACUGCCGCGAUCACGCUUGCGACCACCACUACAGCCGUCAGCAGCGCAGCACCGUGGCGGGCGGCGACGACUCCGAAGCGCCGCACAAGGGUUACCCAUACCACUCCUUCUUUAUCGGCGUCCCCAGCUUCGUGAGCACCCACCCUUCCCACAUACUACAGGAGACGUCGUGGGGACUGCUUUUCCCCACCGUGACGGUGCGCGAGAUCGAGGAGGGCACUAUCGACCUGUCGAAGCCGCUCCCCUUCUACGAGCACUUCGAGGAGAUCUGCGACGGCGGCGCUGCCUGCGAGACGAGUGCCUUCCACCCGAACAGUAGCAUGACCUCCAACAGUUACAGCUUCAGCCGCGGCAAGAACACACUCGGCUUUUCUUCCAGCGGGAUGCACACACGCAUUCACAGCGCGUACAGCAGCAGUGGACACCUCGACGGGUCACUGCGGGUCCACUCAAAGUCGAACAGUUACAUGGAUAAAAGGGAAGACCGUCUCCCGGCGCGCCGAUCUGCCCUGCUUUCCCCCGUCGGGGCCCACAGCAGCCUCUCUCUGCCAGAGUUUCACUCCUCGCCGCCUGAGAACUGGUCAUAUCUCAUGUUCUGCGCCAGAUGCGCCGAUCGGCAGGCGGUGCGACUGAAUGGCAAGCAGUGCGACAACGACAUCUCGCGUCAUGUCCACCUGCGCCGGCUGGGACAGCUCACGGCUCUGCUCGCGUACUUUCUGCUUCGUGGUGUGCGCCUCGAAGUGCCUGUUCAAUUUUUGGAGUACUCCGCGAAGAAGCAUGUGCAGCAGGUGGAGCGGCAACGCAGCCAGCAGCGUGCACACAGGUUGGCUGAGAUGCAGCGUGUCGGCCGCGCCUCGGAGCUCGUCGGAGGUCUCGAAGUGAUGGGAACGACGGGCGCGAGGCAUACAAGAACCACCGGCGGUGGUGUGCGCAUGUCGCCGACAGGCCCGAACGUAGCGGGUGACUUUAGCCUGCUGUCACGCACAGAGACAGACCACGUCAUCACCCGUGCGGCAAUCUGCGGCUUCGCCAAUGAGAGCUAUUUCUGCUAUAUGAACUCGGUGCUGCAGUGCCUGCUGCGGUGCCGCAUCUUUGCGAACCCACUUCUGCACGUCGAUCCGUCCAAGAGCCCUGGAAAACUCACGGCAUCCGUGUCGCGUCUGCUGCACCACCUGGCACACCAGACGUAUCAGGACGUGCUCAACGGUGCCGUCUUCGCGUUCGUGCGCUCGCUGCGGACGCAGAUUUGCAAUAUCAACGUGCUCUUCGAAGAGGAUGAGCAGCAGGAUGCCCAAGAGUUUCUCAUCACGCUGCUCAACGGCAUCGAGGAUGAGUUCGACAAAGGAAAGAGCGAAGAGGAGAAGAAGGCGUCGCGCCGUGUCAGCUUCGAGGGCGCGCUUCUCUCCGAGGUGACCUGCUCCCAAUGCAAGCACUGCGUCCCGCGCAACGAAAUGUUCAUGUCCCUUUCCAUCCCCAUCGAGAAGAGCAUCGAGGACGGUAUUGCAUCGCUCUUCGCGCCGACCACGCUGCGCGGCAAGGACCGCUACGCAUGCGAGGGCUGCUUCAAGAAGCUGUCGCAGAAAGAGCAGCAGGGGCACAACGCCCUCGCCGCAGUCCAGGCCGAGGCAGAGAGGAGGGCCAAGUUAGAUGGGAAGAAGCUCACUCAAGCGCAGAUAGAGGAGCGCGUGUAUGCCAAUGCGCUCUACAGCGAGGCCGAGGUACGCACGUCGCUCUCCCACCUCGGCGGCAGCCUUGCGGUGCAUCUCCUGCGCUUCCACUACGACCCGACGGCGCAGGACUUCAUCAAGGUGCUCACACCGGUGCGCAUCUCGCUCACCCUUGACCUCACCCCGUACGUCAGCCGCGAGGUAGUGGAGGCCUACAACCGUAUGGAGAAGAUCUAUCUCUUGCAGCGCCGCUUCCCGACUGCGUCAGAGAAACUGAUUAGCAAGUACCUACGCCACGCCAAGGAUGAUGUCAAACUGGCCACGCAGAAGAUGUUAGAUGACGGUCAUGGGAUAGCCGAGGCGGUGCACUCACGGCAGAGUAGCAGCACUGCCGUCAGCCGCACCCACACUGGGGUGGGAGCAGGCAACGCGGUUGGCGAUGACGCGUCUGAGGAUGUGGCUGGCGUCGGCAGCGUCUUUGGCGACGCCUCUGGUUGCACCUCCGGCUGCACCUCCUCCUUGGCUGCGACGCCGCUCAACAACCCCAACGGGGAUCGGGGUACCUUUGCCAAGACGGUGGCCAAGUCUUGGGCAAACACCAACGGAGGCGCUGGCAAGGCUACACCGUCUGAUCCCGCUGCUGCGAUUUGCGCCAUUACGAGCGACGAAUUCGAUCCGUUUGGCGAGCGCACCCCUCCGAAGCCAUCGUUGGUGCGCCAGCUGGUGGGUAUCGUUGCGCAUCGAGGCUCGCUGCACGGGGGCCACUACAUCGCCUAUGUGCGCCACCUCACUCGCCCACAUGUAUGGUUCCGCUGCGACGACGAGGACAUCGACGUGGUGGAGGAGAAGCACGUGCUCGAUCACGAGGCUGAGGUGUACCUCGCCUUCUACGAGUAGGCACGUGGGCUGUCAAGUGCCUAGUGUUCACAUCAAGUCAGGGCAUGAGUGGCCCUGCUUGCUGGGGAACGGUGAGGCGCACAAACGCGUCCGAAGCUAACCACGCGUCGGUCUGCGGCACGUAAACGUCUCUCUCCCCUUCUCCCCCUCCCUCUCUCACUCCCUCGCUGCUUCGCACGGCGUAUCUAUUUUUGCGUGCGCUUGGUUUUGUUUGUGUGCGUAUCUCGCGGUGCUUUCGUUUUGUUUCCCGUACUUAUUUUCGCCCCUCUCUCCGCCUAUGUCUCUCUCUGUCUGUGUGCACCGGCGGGCCCUCAGCUGCCGCCUCGGGCCUCUUUUCUUUUUGUUUUGCCUCCGCCCCUUUUCUCUCUCUCGUUCUCCUUCUCAGGCGUUCUAGAGUCUUCUGCCGUCCCUUCUGUUUCUUCCUCCCAUGUGGUGCCGGGAUGGGGUGGGGGCGGCGGCGGUGGUGAUGGUGGUAGUGUUGGUGGUUGAUCGCAUGUGAGAUGAAGGGGCGAACAGAGACUUGGUUCGCAUGGCAUGGAAAGCGCGCUGGCAGCAAGGGCUCCUUCUCGCCGGCAUUGCACCAGUUGCCACCCCCUCCGUUGAUACGCAUACAGUACAUGUGUGUAUGCACUCGGUCCCGUGCUGAUGCGCCCGCCGCUUGCCAAACGUUUGCUUGCGUGAAUGUGUGCCUGUUCGUUGGUGUCGGUAUGCUUUGUUUUCUGUUCAGCCGUGCUUGCUGUUAUCUCUUUCACGCCCCAUUCUGUUUUUUUUUUUUGUGUUGUUGUUCGUGCGUGGUCGUGCCGAGCCGCGAAACUCAUGAAGCAAGGCGCAGGCAGAGCGGAAAGAGGGAGGUGCGAAGGGAGGCGUCGCAAGGAGUAGAGAUGACCGCUGCGCGCGUGUGUGUAUGGGUGGGUGGCGGGAGAGUGUGUCUCACUCACGCAGACGCCAACGACGGCUUCGCUCCCGCGGCGUACUUACCUUUGCUUUAUUUUCCUCUACGCUCUCCUCCGCCUUUUUGCUUUUCUUUUCCAUUCGCUCUCUGCGGAAGACCGUGGCCGCGCAGAGGAAGCAAGCAGGGCACCUCGCACACCCUUCACCCUGGGGUGUGCCGUGGCGCGUUUGCCUCCUUUUUCUUUCCGUACACGGCGGAUGCGGAUCUGAGCCGCCAUGGCGCCCUCCCCCCUCUCCAUCGGGCUCGCCCGAAGGCAUGCAUAUCCCUAUCGUUGCUUGCGCGUGCACUGCAGCAUCAUCUCUCACGUCCCUUUGCCUGCUUCCCACGCUUUGGCUUUCUGCGCGUCUCCCGCCUCGUCAACGUUGCCGCUGUGGUGAUCAUGGCGUAACGCCCCGUCAACGGAGCACGGGGCCUCCUCCCCACCGAGAGAGGAAAG
rnacentral:misc_RNA from 1 species